rnacentral:tRNA from 1 species
CCUUCCGUAGCUCAGCGGACAAGAGCGCCGGCCUCCGAAGCUGGAGGGCGCUGGUUCGAUCCCAGCCGGAAGGUCCA